UUUCUUCAUCUUCAACCUCAAGUCUUAAGAACUCCAUAACCAAUCCUUCUUCACAUCUUCAUCAAAGAUUCGGGUUUCAAGAAGGAAUUGGGGAAAAUCCACCAAAAGCAUCUUUAAGACAAUAUUAACUACUUUGGAGAUGGAGUUCAGCGUUAGUUCUUGCAGUCCGACGAACUCCCCUAGUUCGUCGGAAGGUGUAGGUCGUGGCAUGGACUACGACGUUUUUGUACAGCAGAUGAGUGGCGCCGACCCUUAUGCGCCUGGCUAUGCUCCUACAGCUCCCAAUAGCUCACCGG